GAGAUCACCUGCAGCAGUAGACACUUCCAGAAGUUUCUCCAAGUGGAUUGCAGACCUGUCCUGCUACCAAAACCAAGCUGUACAAGAGCUACACAGCAGACAACAGUUUCUAAAAUGCAGUCAAGGACUACCAGAAAGCAACACAACAGACACCCCCAGAACACAGGAAGCAGCCUGCCAGCUGCAGAAAGCCAGCGUGAGGAUCAAAAGAGCAACAUCCCAGAGAUGAGGCCUCUCACACCAACGGAUCAGGCAAGGAAGAGAAUAUAUCUGUUCUGGCACUGUGGGCACCAAGCAUCAGUGUUGAUUACAGAUG